rnacentral:rRNA from 1 species
AGAGUUUGAUCAUGGCUCAGGAUGAACGCUAGCGGCAGGCUUAACACAUGCAAGUCGUGGGGCAGCGCGGGGUAGCAAUACUCUGGCGGCGACCGGCAAACGGGUGCGGAACACGUACGCAACCUUCCUCAGAGCGGGGAAUAGCCUCUCGAAAGAGAGAUUAAUACCCCAUAGUAUCUUUGUCCUGCAUGGGAUGGAGAUUAAAGCUCCGGCACUUUGAGAUGGGCGUGCGGCUGAUUAGGUAGUUGGUAGGGUAACGGCCUACCAAGCCAACGAUCAGUAGCUGAUGUGAGAGCAUGAUCAGCCACACGGGCACUGAGACACGGGCCCGACUCCUACGGGAGGCAGCAGUGAGGAAUAUUGGUCAAUGGAGGCAACUCUGAACCAGCCAUGCCGCGUGAAGGAUGAAGGUCCUCUGGAUUGUAAACUUCUUUUAUAGAAGAAGAAACCCCAGUAUUCUUACUGGGUUGACGGUACUCUAUGAAUAAGCACCGGCUAACUCCGUGCCAGCAGCCGCGGUAAUACGGAGGGUGCAAGCGUUAUCCGGAUUCACUGGGUGUAAAGGGCGCGCAGGUGGGCUUGAUAGUUAGAGGUGAAAUCCUGUGGCUUAACUGCAGAACUGCCUUUAAUACUUCAAGUCUUGAGUGCGGAAGAGAGAGACGGAAUUCCAGGUGUAGUGGUGAAAUACGUAGAUAUCUGGAAGAACACCAGUUGCGAAGGC